rnacentral:rRNA from 1 species
AYUAWGCKUGAUUGCAGAUUCCGUGAAUCAUCGAGUCUUUGAACGCACAUUGCGCCCCCUGGUAUUCCGGGGGGCAUGCCUGUCCGAGCGUCAUUGCUGCCUAUCAAGCACGGCUUGUGUGUUGGGUCGUCGUCCCCUCUCCGGGGGGGACGGGCCCCAAAGGCAGCGGCGGCACCGCGUCCGAUCCUCGAGCGUAUGGGGCUUUGUCACCCGCUCUGUAGGCCCGGCCGGCGCUUGCCGAACGCAAAUCAAUCUUUUCCAGGUUGACCUCGGAUCAGGUAGGGAUACCCGCUGAACUUAAGCAUAUCAAUAAGCGGAGG